AUGACCAUCUCUCCCUCUCCCUUCUCCCUCUCCCUUCUCCCCUUCUCCCUCUCCCCUUCUCCCUCUCCCUUCUCCCUCUCCCUUCUCCCUCUCCCUCUCCCCUUCUCCCUCUCCCUUCUCCCUCUCCCUUCUCCCUCUCCCUUCUCCCUUCUCCCUCUCCCUUCUCCCUCUCCCUUCUCCCUUCUCCCUCUCCCCUUCUCCCUCUCCCUUCUCCCUCUCCCUCUCCCUCUCCCUCUCCCUUCUCCCCUCUCCUUCUCCCCUCUCCCCUCCCCUUCUCCCUCUCCCUUCUCCCCUCUCCCUCUCCCCUUCUCCCUCUCCCCUUCUCCCUCUCCCCUUCUCCUCCUCCCUUCUCCCUCUCCCUUCUCCCUCUCCCUCUCCCUCUCCCUUCUCCCUUCUCCCUUCUCCCCUCUCCCUCUCCCCUUCUCCCUCUCCCUUCUCCCCUUCUCCCUUCUCCCUCUCCCCUUCUCCCUCUCCCUCUCCCUUCUCCCCUCUCCCUCUCCUCUCCCUUCUCCCUUCUCCCCUCUCCCUCUCCCCUUCUCCCUCUCCCUUCUCCCUUCUCCCUCUCCCUUCUCCCCUCUCCCUCUCCCCUUCUCCCUCUCCCUUCUCCCCUUCUCCCUCUCCCUUCUCCCUCUCCCCUCUCCCUCUCCCUCUCCCUCUCCCUUCUCCCUCUCCCUUCUCCCCUCUCCCUCUCCCCUUCUCCCUCUCCCUCUCCCUUCUCCCUCCCUUCUCCUUCCCUCUCCCUCUCCCUUCUCCCUUCUCCCUCUCCCUCUCCCCUCUCCCUCUCCCCUUCUCCCUCUCCCCUUCUCCCUCUCCCCUUCUCCCUCUCCCCUUCUCCCUCUCCCCUUCUCCCUCUCCCCUUCUCCCUCCCCCUUCCCCUCUCCCCUUCUCCCUCCCCCCUUCUCCCUCUCCCUUCUCCCCUCUCCCUUCUCCCUCUCCCCUUCCUCUCCCUCCCCUCUCCCUCCCUUCUCCCUUCUCACUGUCCCUCUCAUCCCCCCUUCUCCCUUCUCCCUUCUCACACUUCUCCCUCUCUCCCUGCCUCCCUGCUCCUCCCCUCUACACCCUUCUCCUCUCCCCUUCUCUCACAUCCCCUUCUCUAUCCCUCUCCCCUUAUCCUCUAUCCACUUCGUCGCCUUCUCCCCUCUCCCUCCCCUCUCCCGCUCCCCCUCUCCCUCUCCCCUUCUCCCUCUCCCGUUCUUCCCUCAUCCCUUCUCCCUAUCCUCUCCGCCCUUCUCCUCUCUCCUUCCUUCCCUUCUAUCCCUUCCCCCUUUCUCCUCUCCCCUUCCCCUGUCUCCCUUCUCUCCAGCUCCUUCCCCCCUCUCCCUUCUCCCCUUCUCCCUCUCCCCUCUCCCUUCCUCUCCCUUCUCCCUUCUCCCUUCUCCUUCUCCCUUCUCCCUCUCCCCUCUCCCUCUCCCUCUCCCUCUCCCUUCUCCCCUCCCCCUUCUCCCCUCUCCCUCCCCUCCCCUCUCCCCCUUCUCCCCUCCCCUUCUCCCUCUCCCCUUCUCCCUCUCCCUUCUCCCCUCUCCCUUCUCCCCUCUCCCUCUCCCCUCUCCCUCUCCCCUUCUCCCUCUCCUCUCCCUCUCCCCUUCUCCCCUCUCCCCUUCUCCCUCUCCCCUUCUCCCUUCUCCCUCUCCCUUCCCUUUCCUCUCCCUUUUCCUCUCCCUUCUCCCUUUCCCUCUCCCUUCUCCCUCUCCCUUUCCCCUCUCCCUUCUCCCUCUCCCUUCUCCCUUUUCCUCUCCCUUUUCCUCUCCCUUCUCCCUUUCCCUCUCCCUUCUCCCUCUCCCUUCUCCCUCUCCCUCUCCCUCUCUCUCCCUUUUCCUCCCCUUUCUUAUUUAG
ensembl:lncRNA